AUGGCUCCUACUCUCCAGGAUGUGUCCCUUUUAUUGGGACUACCGUUGGCAGGUCAUGCCAUAGGACCGUUGGAGGCACCGGCUGAUUGGCAGCUUGGUAUUGCACAACAUUUUGCGGGUAUUUAUGACCGUGCUCCGGUGCUGACGUCGGAUAAUCACGGAGCUAAGUAUGAAUGGUUGCUCCAUUUCCAGAUCCAAAAAUUCCCGGGGUAUCCAAGGGUCCCGUUGAAUGCGACACAGAUCACGUGCAGUCUGGAGGCAUAUAUACUAUGGCUUCUCGGCAAGGUGAUGUUCACAGAGAACCAUGUCAGCACUAUUAGCACGAGCUAUAUCCCUAUUGCAUUGGAGAUCACAAGCGCUGAGAUGCCGGAUCAGAUCACACAGAGGAGAUGGGGUUCGACUGUCUUAGUGUAUACAUACCGAGCUAUGUGCAACACCUGCCAGCUUACGUCACCCUUGCCCGCCCUUCUUGGAUGCCCUCUAUUUCUGCAACUG
rnacentral:rRNA from 1 species